rnacentral:rRNA from 1 species
AUUGAACGCUGGCGGCAGGCCUAACACAUGCAAGUCGAACGAGGGGCGGACGGGUGAGUAAUGCUUGGGAAUCUGGCUUAUGGAGGGGGAUAACGACGGGAAACUGUCGCUAAUACCGCGUACCAUAGGAUGAGCCCAAGUGGGAUUAGUUAGUCGGUGGGGUAAUGGCUUACCAAGCCGACGAUCUCUAGCUGGUCUGAGAGUAUGACCAGCCACACCGGAACUGAGACACGGCCCGGACUCCUACGGGAGGCAGUAGUGGGGAAUAUUGCGCAAUGGGGGCAACCUGACGCAGCCAUGCCGCGUGAAUGAAGAAGGCCUUAGGGUUGUAAAGUACUGUCGGUGGCGAGGCGUUAAUCGCAGAAGAAGCACCGGCUAACUCCGUGCCAGCAGCCGCGGUAAUUC